rnacentral:rRNA from 1 species
GAUGAACGCUGGCGGCGUGCCUAAUACAUGCAAGUCGAACGCUGAAGGAGGAGCUUGCUCUUCUGGAUGAGUUGCGAACGGGUGAGUAACGCGUAGGUAACCUGCCUGGUAGCGGGGGAUAACUAUUGGAAACGAUAGCUAAUACCGCAUGACAACAGUUAUUGCAUGAUAACUGUUUAAAAGGGGCAACUGCUCCACUACCAGAUGGACCUGCGUUGUAUUAGCUAGUUGGUGAGGUAACGGCUCACCAAGGCGACGAUACAUAGCCGACCUGAGAGGGUGAUCGGCCACACUGGGACUGAGACACGGCCCAGACUCCUACGGGAGGCAGCAGUAGGGAAUCUUCGGCAAUGGACGGAAGUCUGACCGCGCAACGCCGCGUGAGUGAAGAAGGUUUUCGGAUCGUAAAGCUCUGUUGUAAGAGAAGAACGAGUGUGAGAGUGGAAAGUUCACACUGUGACGGUAUCUUACCAGAAAGGGACGGCUAACUACGUG